rnacentral:lncRNA from 1 species
CCUACCUCCAGACCUCCCCAACUCCUCGCCUCCCCACCUCCCUGCCUCUUGGCGUCAGCGAAGGCUCUGCUGCCUGCAGGGCAGAGAGGAGAGGGAGGAGGCCAGCGAGAGGGAGCCUCUGUCGGGGCGUGGGAGGAAAGCAAGAUAACGCAGGCGACCCGAGAAGGACGGUGAAUCUGACUGGCCAGACUGGGAAGUAGGCGAAGGGGAAGCAGCGAUACUGGGAAGGUGCGGUGGGACCUGUAGGAGAAGAGAAACAGAAAAGAAAGGAAGAGAAGGGGAGAGGCCAGCAGAGAGGAAGCAGAAAAAGGGAAGUCUUGUCUGUCACCGAGGCUGGAGUGCAGUGUGGCAGGAUCAUAGCUUACUCCAUCCUUGAACUCCUGGGAUCAAGGAAUCCUCUAGCCUCAGCUUCCUGAGUAGGUGGGACUACAGAUGCAUACCACCAUGCCCCGUGAAGGAA